GACGAACGCUGGCGGCGGGCUUAACACAUGCAAGUCGAACGGAAAGGCCCUGCUUUUGUGUGGUGCUCGAGUGGCGAACGGGUGAGUAACACGUGAGUAACCUGCCCUGGACGUUGGGAUAACUGCAGGAAACUGGGGCUAAUACCGGAUAGGAGCGCCUGCUGCAUGGGGGGGGUUGGAAAGUUUCGGCGGUUGGGGAUGGACUCGCGGCUUAUCAGCUUGUUGGUGGGGUAGUGGCUUACCAAGGCAUUGACGGGUAGCCGGCCUGAGAGGGUGACCGGCCACAUUGGGACUGAGAUACGGCCCAGACUCCUACGGGAGGCAGCAGUGGGGAAUAUUGCACAAUGGGCGGAAGCCUGAUGCAGCAACGCCGCGUGCGGGAUGACGGCCUUCGGGUUGUAAACCGCUUUCGCCUGUGACGAAGCGUGAGUGACGGUAAUGGGUAAAGAAGCACCGGCUAACUACGUG
rnacentral:rRNA from 1 species